CUUCCGGAGCUAACGCGUUAAGUCGACCGCCUGGGGAGUACGGCCGCAAGGUUAAAACUCAAAUGAAUUGACGGGGGCCCGCACAAGCGGUGGAGCAUGUGGUUUAAUUCGAUGCAACGCGAAGAACCUUACCUGGUCUUGACAUCCACAGAACUUUCCAGAGAUGGAUUGGUGCCUUCGGGAACUGUGAGACAGGUGCUGCAUGGCUGUCGUCAGCUCGUGUUGUGAAAUGUUGGGUUAAGUCCCGCAACGAGCGCAACCCUUAUCCUUUGUUGCCAGCGGUCCGGCCGGGAACUCAAAGGAGACUGCCAGUGAUAAACUGGAGGAAGGUGGGGAUGACGUCAAGUCAUCAUGGCCCUUACGACCAGGGCUACACACGUGCUACAAUGGCGCAUACAAAGAGAAGCGACCUCGCGAGAGCAAGCGGACCUCAUAAAGUGCGUCGUAGUCCGGAUUGGAGUCUGCAACUCGACUCCAUGAAGUCGGAAUCGCUAGUAAUCGUGGAUCAGAAUGCCACGGUGAAUACGUUCCCGGGCCUUGUACACACCGCCCGUCACACCAUGGGAGUGGGUUGCAAAAGAAGUAGGUAGCUUAACCUUCGGGAGGGCGCUUACCACUUUGUGAUUCAUGACUGGGGUGAAGUCGUAACAAGGUAACCGUAGGGGAACCUGCGGUUGGAUCAC
rnacentral:rRNA from 1 species